ACGCCCGUAGCUCAGCUGGAUAGAGUACUGCCCUUCGAAGGCAGGGGUCGUGAGUUCGAAUCUCGCCGGGCGCGCCA
rnacentral:tRNA from 1 species